AUUGAACGCUGGCGGCACGCCUUACACAUGCAAGUCGAACGGUAACAGGUCUUCGGAUGCUGACGAGUGGCGAACGGGUGAGUAAUACAUCGGAACGUGCCCGAUCGUGGGGGAUAACGAAGCGAAAGCUUUGCUAAUACCGCAUACGAUCUACGGAUGAAAGCAGGGGACCGCAGGGCCUUGCGCGAACGGAGCGGCCGAUGGCAGAUUAGGUAGUUGGUGGGAUAAAAGCUUACCAAGCCGACGAUCUGUAGCUGGUCUGAGAGGACGACCAGCCACACUGGGACUGAGACACGGCCCAGACUCCUACGGGAGGCAGCAGUGGGGAAUUUUGGACAAUGGGCGAAAGCCUGAUCCAGCCAUGCCGCGUGCAGGAUGAAGGCCUUCGGGUUGUAAACUGCUUUUGUACGGAACGAAAAGACUCUGGUUAAUACCUGGGGUCCAUGACGGUACCGUAAGAAUAAGCACCGGCUAACUACGUGCCAGCCGCCGCGGUAAGAC
rnacentral:rRNA from 1 species